rnacentral:rRNA from 1 species
GAUGAACGCUAGCGGCAGGCCUAAUACAUGCAAGUCGAACGGUAAGGCCCUUUACGGGGUACACGAGUGGCGGACGGGUGCGUAACGCGUAUGCAACAUGCCUUCCAGCGGGGGAUAUACCAGGGAAACUUGGCGCAAUACCCCAUAGAAUUACGGGACCGCAUGGUCUUGUGAUUAAAACUCCGGUGCUGGGAGAUUGGCAUGCGUGACAUUAGCUAGUUGGCGGGGUAACGGCCCACCAAGGCGACGAUGUCUAGCUAGUCUGAGAGGAUGAUCAGCCACACUGGGACUGAGACAACGGCCCAGACUCCUACGGGAGGCAGCAGUAGGGAAUAUUGGACAAUGGGGGGAACCCUGAUCCAGCCAUGCCGCGUGAGGGAAGAAGGUCCUCUCGGAUU